AUCGGUGCAGCUAGCUGGUUUCUUCACGCAUCGCGCCGACAGAAACAAACAUCUUUCUGGUAAGAAGAGGGGCGGGGGCGUAUGCCUUAUGAUUAACGAGACGUGGUGUGAUCACAACAACAUACAGGAACUCAAGUCCUUCUGUUCACCUGAUUUAGAAUUCCUCACAAUCAAAUGUCGACCGCAUUAUCUACCAAGGGAAUUAUCUUCGAUUAUCACAGCCAUAUAUAUUCCCCCCCCAAGCAGACACAUCGAUGGCCCUGAAAAACUUUAUUUGACUCUUUGCAAACUGGAAACCACAUAUCCUCAGGCUGCAUUCAUUGUAGCUGGGGAUUUUAACAAGGCUAAUCUGAAAACAAGACUCCCUAAAUUGUAUCAGCAUAUCGAUUGCGCAACCAGGGCUGGUAAAACCUUGGAUCAUUGCUAUCUUAACUUCCGCGACGCAUAUAAGGCCCUCCCCCGCCCUCCUUUCGGAAAAGCUGACCACGACUCCAUUUUGUUUCUCCCUGCCUACAGACAGAAACUAAAACAAGAAGCUCCCGCGCUCAGGUCUGUUCAACGCUGGUCCGACCAAUCUGAUUCCACGCUUCAAGACUGCUUCGGUCACGUGGACUGGGAUAUGUUCCGCAUUGCGUCAAACAACAACAUUGACGAAUAUGCUGAUUCGGUGAGCGAGUUCAUUAGAAAGUGCAUUGAUGAUGUCGUUCCCAUAGCAAUGAUUAAAACAUUCCCAAACCAGAAACCGUGGAUUGAUGGCAGCAUUCGAGUGAAACUGAAAGCACGAACAACUGCUUUUAACCAGGGAAAGGUGACCGGAAAUAUGAACGAAUACAAACAGUGUAGCUAUUCCCUCCGCAAGGCAAUCAAACAAGCUAAGCGUCAGUAUAGAGACAAAGUAGAGUCACAAUUCAACAGCUCAGACACAAGAGGUAUGUUGAAGGGUCUACAGUCAAUCACUGAUUACAAAAAGAAAACCAGCCCCGUCUCGGACCAGGAUGUCUUGCUCCCAGGCAGACUAAAUAACUUUUUUGCCCGCUUUGAGGACAAUACAGUGCAACUGACACGGCCCGCAACCAAAACCUGCAGACUCUCCUUCACUGCAGCCGACGUGAGUAAAACAUUUAAACGUGUUAACCCUCGCAAGGCUGCAGGCCCAGACAGCAUCCCCAGCCGCGCCCUCAGAGCAUGCGGCAGACAAGCUAGCUGGUAUGUUUACGGACAUAUUCAAUCAAUCCUUAUUCCAGUCUGCUGUUCCCACAUGCUUCAAGAGGGCCACCAUCGUCCCUGUUCCCAAGAAAGCUAAGGUAACUGAGCUAAACGACUACCCCCCGUAGCACUCACUUCCGUCAUCAUUAAGUGCUUUGAGAGACUAGUCAAGGACCAUAUCACCUCCACCCUACCUGACACCCUAGACCCACUCCAAUUUGCUUACCACCCAAAUACAGUGGGGCAAAAAAGUAUUUAGUCAGCCACCAAUUGUGCAAGUUCUCCCACUUAA
rnacentral:lncRNA from 13 species